rnacentral:lncRNA from 1 species
UUUUGUUUCAGCAAUAUAAUUACAAAGAGAGAAUAAAGUGGCCCCCUUGAAGGCCAAUGCCGCUGGUGCAGUUUUGUUUCUUAUGGUGGUUUGCUCAAAGAUUGCGGCGGACAGUUCGGAGUUUGACGACCUUGCUCCUUCGCCGGCAAUGACAGGCGGCGGCAGCGGUUUGGGAUUUGCGCCACCUGUCUCCAUUGCUGCUGUUUGUCGAUCUGUUUGUUUAAUUAAUAUGCUCAUGUUUUGAGCGGUGUUUGAUGUAAUUUGUUCAUCUUUUGUAAAAAUCUUGAGGAACUUUCUUUGUUUUGAUCUUUUGGUUCAUGAGAAAUAAUUCAUACAUAUUCAAAAUGUUUCCCUAAAAGUUCUUAAACGAG